GUCUUCGCGGUGUAGCGGUCAGCACGCUCGACGCGUAUUCGAGAGGUCCGUGGUUCGAAUCCCGGCGAAGGCG
rnacentral:tRNA from 1 species